rnacentral:rRNA from 1 species
AACGAACGCUGGCGGCAGGCCUAACACAUGCAAGUCGAACGCUCCGCAAGGGGAGUGGCGCGCGGGUGAGUAACACGUGGGAACCUACCUUCUGGUACGGAACAACCAAGGGAAACUUUGGCUAAGACCGUAUACGACCUCCGGGUGAAAGAUUGAUCGCCGGAAGAGGGGCCCGCGUCCGAUUAGGUAGUUGGUGAGGUAACGGCUCACCAAGCCUUCGAUCGGUAGCUGGUCUGAGAGGAUGACCAGCCACACUGGGACUGAGACACGGCCCAGACUCCUACGGGAGGCAGCAGUGGGGAAUAUUGGACAAUGGGCGCAAGCCUGAUCCAGCCAUGCCGCGUGAGUGAUGAAGGCCUUCGGUUG